GACCUGGUGGUGAAAUGCAUCACACCUACUUUGCCUGGCGGGGUAUGUAAUAUCUGUAUUUGUGGGAAUCCCUGGUUCGAGUCCGGGUCAGGUCA